UACUCAAGGUACCAACUCCCAGUUCUUAUCCUAGCAUGAAAGUGUGUGUGACAACUGAAUUCUAGAACUGAAGAUUACGCCUGCUGUUAACACUGAAAGCAACGUAGUGGUGUACCUGGAUGGGCAGACGUGGCAAUGGCUCAUUCUUUCAGCGAGGGCUGCUUCUGGGGCUGCAAUGAGAAGAGACUGAAAGGACGUGUGAUGGGGACUGUGAUGGAAUAAGACUGCUACAGAAGGAAAAUGGAGGGACCAGUCCGACUUUCACUCUACGUGUCGUCCUCUCCUUCGCCUUCCACAGCGACUUUACGAGGGGGGCCGACGCGACGGAUGGGGGCACGUGGCCUUCACGCGAGGUCACGUGGCCACAAUAACGAGGGCCCCGCGUCGGCUGAGGUGGACCUACCGAACUGGGCGAACGGCACCCGAUGGAGCGUUGGGUAACGACUGGUGCAGGAGGAGAUGAUGCGCUGGGUAGGUGACGAUAUUAUUAACCGGAAGAAGACUUUGCAUGGAAGAAAAAAGAUGAUGAGUUGGAGCAGGAAAAGGGCUCCAGGCUAAGAGUUGGAUGCAUUGCCACAUUUGGGUUCACUUAAGCUCAGCUAGCCUGGAAGUUGAACUCAGCUUGCGCUAACCCAAUCACUGUGCAACUCAACCGAAGCUAGCUACUGUUGCACUGGGUUCGAACAGAGAUUUAAAAGCAGAGCUUUGGCAUGCUUCGCCACUGUUCACUAUGCUAGUUUCUUCUUGAGAGCAUGAUCGCGAGCUCCGCUCCACUCCCAGAUCUAAGAAUCGGUCUUCUUCAUCUCUGGCGAACGUUGAGCUACCGACUACCAUCGUCCGAAGGUUUGAGCGCAUCAGGCAGAGUUUAUCUGAUCGCGAUCUUGUUCCUUGCGUUUCUCCACUUUGCCGCAGAUCAGUGGCAGUUUCUUCAAUCUUCGAUUUUCACUUUCCAACGGAGACGACAGCGGAGUUUUCCUGACAUUUCCGAUUCCAUUCCGACAGUCAUUUCACCCGCGACUCUUGAAUCGAUAAGAUCAAUCGAUCGGGGUAGCAAGUACCGAUUACGAUCAUGUUGAAUUGAGAACCGCCUUUCUUUGAUCCUAUUUUUGAUUGUACUA